rnacentral:rRNA from 1 species
CCAAGCUAGAAAGGGCAUACGGUGGAUGCCUUGGCGCUAGGAGGCGACGAAGGGCGUGGCAAGCUGCGAUAAGCCUCGGGGAGCCGCAAGCAGGCCGAGAUCCGGGGAUGCCCGAAUGGGGAAACCCGCCGGAACAAACUUCCGGCAUCCUUACCCGAACACAUAAGGUAAGGAGGCGAACCGGGGGAACUGAAACAUCUUAGUACCCCGAGGAAAAGAAAGAAACCUCGAUUCCCUAAGUAGCGGCGAGCGAACGGGGAGGAGCCCAAACCAGGGUCAAACCCUGGGGUGCGGCGCCUGGAGGGGGUAACCCGGGGAGUAAAAAAUCUUUCUUUUAGCCGAAGAGGUCUGGAAGGGCCCGCCAGAGAAGGUGAAAGCCCUGUAGGCGAAAAAAGAAAGACUCCCUGUCCAGGCAGCCCGAGUACCGCGGGACACGUGGAACCCCGCGGGAAGAAGGGAGGACCACCUCCCAAGGCUAAAUACUCCCUAGCGACCGAUAGCGCAUAGUACCGUGAGGGAAAGGUGAAAAGAACCCCGGGAGGGGAGUGAAAUAGAACCUGAAACCGUAUGCCUACAAGCAGUCAGAGGGGAAAAAUCCCUGAUGGCGUACUUUUUGUAGAACGGGCCGGCGAGUUCAGGUGGCGAGCGAGGUUAAGGGGCGACCCCCGGAGCCGUAGCGAAAGCGAGUCCGAACAGGGCGUAAAGUUCGCCGCCUGAGACCCGAAACCGGGUGAGCUACCCAUGGGCAGGGUGAAGCGUAAGUAAAAUUGCGUGGAGGCCCGAACCGCACGGCGUUGAAAAGUCGUCGGAUGACCUGUGGGUAGGGGUGAAAUGCUAAUCGAACCCGGAGAUAGCUGGUUCUCCCCGAAAUAGCUUUAGGGCUAGCCUCAAGACGUACCCGCCGGAGGUAGAGCACUGAAAGGGCUAGGGGGCGAAUAGCUUACCAAACCUUUUCAAACUCCGAAUGCCGGCGGGCGGACCUUGGGAGUCAGACCAUGGGGGAUAAGCUCCAUGGUCGAGAGGGGAACAGCCCAGACCGGCAGCUAAGGUCCCCAAGCGCGGGCUAAGUGGAAAAGGAUGUAAGGCCGCUAAAACAGCCAGGAUGUUGGCUUAGAAGCAGCCAUCAUUUAAAGAGUGCGUAAUAGCUCACUGGUCGAGUGGCCCUGCGCCGAAAAUGUAACGGGGCUCAAGCCCGCCACCGAAGCUCCGGACCAAAGGCUUUGGCCUUUGAGUGGUAGGGGAGCGUUGUUUGGGCGCCGAAGCGAAACUGGAAAGUUUCGUGGAGCCUAAACAAGCGAGAAUGCCGGCAUAAGUAAGCGAGAAGGCAGGUGAGAAUCCUGCCCGCCGAAAGCCUAAGGUUUCCUGGGGAAGGCUCGUCCGCCCAGGGUUAGCCGGGACCUAAGCCGAGGCGUAAAGCGUAGGCGAUGGACGAUCGGUUGAUAUUCCGAUGCUGCCAGGGUCAUAUGGGGAUGGGGUGACGCAGGAGGGUAGGCCGAGCGCGCGGUUGGAAGUGCGCGUCCAAGCCCGUAGGGCGAGGGGAGGAAAAUCCCCCCUCAAAAAAGCCCGAGAGGUGACGGGGAGGGAAAUUUAAGUACCGAACUCGCCGACCCCACACUGCCAAGAAAAGCCUCUAACGCCGGCUCUGGCACCCGUACCGGAAACCGACACAGGUAGGCGGGGAGAGAAUCCUAAGGCGCGCGAGAGAACCCUCGUUAAGGAACUCGGCAAAAUAGCCCCGUAACUUCGGGAGAAGGGGUGCCCCGCGUAGGGUAGGUAUAAAAGCUUAUACCCGCCCGAGGGGGCCGCAGCGAACAGGCCCAAGCGACUGUUUACCAAAAACACAGGUGCCUGCUAAGGGGAAACCCGAUGUAUAGGUGCUGACGCCUGCCCGGUGCUGGAAGGUUAAGGGGAAGGGUGAAAGCUCUGAACCGAAGCCCCAGUAAACGGCGGCCGUAACUAUAACGGUCCUAAGGUAGCGAAAUUCCUUGUCGGGUAAGUUCCGACCCGCACGAAAGGCGUAACGAUUUGGGCACUGUCUCAACGAGGGGCUCGGUGAAAUUGUAGUACCCGUGAAGAUGCGGGUUACCUGCGGCAGGACAGAAAGACCCCGUGGAGCUUUACUGUAGCCUGACAUUGGAUUUUGGUAUCUGAUGUACAGGAUAGGUGGGAGGCUAAAGAACCAGGGCCGCCAGGUUCUGGGGAGCCGUCCUUGGGAUACCACCCUUCAGGUGCUGAAGUUCUAACCCGAGGCCAUGAUCUGGUCUGGGGACCGUGUCAGGUGGGCAGUUUGACUGGGGCGGUCGCCUCCUAAAAGGUAACGGAGGCGUCCAAAGGUCCGUUCAGCGCGGUCGGAAAUCGCGCGGGAGAGUAUAAAGGCAUAAACGGGCUUGACUGUGAGAGGGACACCUCGAGCAGGGACGAAAGUCGGGCUUAAUGAUCCGGUGGUACCGAGUGGAAGGGCCAUCGCUCAACGGAUAAAAGCUACCCCGGGGAUAACAGGCUUAUCUCCCCCAAGAGUCCACAUCGACGGGGAGGUUUGGCACCUCGAUGUCGGCUCAUCGCAUCCUGGGGCUGAAGUAGGUCCCAAGGGUUGGGCUGUUCGCCCAUUAAAGCGGUACGUGAGCUGGGUUCAGAACGUCGUGAGACAGUUCGGUCCCUAUCCGUCGCAGGCGCAGGAAACUUGAGGGGAGCUGCCCCUAGUACGAGAGGACCGGGGUGGACAGACCGCUGGUGUACCAGUUGUCCCGCCAGGGGCACCGCUGGGUAGCCAAGUCUGGACGGGAUAAGCGCUGAAAGCAUCUAAGCGCGAAGCCCACCUCAAGAUGAGGUUUCCCACAGGGUCAACCUGGUAAGACCCCAGAAAGAUUAUCUGGUAGAUAGGCCGGAGGUGUAAGAGCGGUAACGCUUUAAGCUGACCGGUACUAAUGGGUCGAGGGCUUGGG